ensembl:lncRNA
GUCAUGGCAUGUUUUCAAGGUGAGCUGGGAAGGGUGAGCAUGAGAGCUGGAGGUCACUGUGCAGCGUGCACCUCAUCCUCUACCUGCGGCAAACUCGAGUCUGGAAGAUGCAUGUCACAAGGAGGGAGGGACUUCUCCCUGCGUGAUGUGAACAGGGCCAGUAUUUGGUGAGAAGGAAGUUGUGCAGAUGGUUCACAAGUGGAGGAAUUUGGGGGCAGUGAAAGCUGUGUGUGCCCAUGUGAGAAGACUGGGCCAAGAGGGCACCCCUGGGGGUACAGAGACAGUGCCCAUGGGAGUCCGUGGUGCACAGCAGCCACCCAGCUCUGCCUCUUGAAUGGAUGGAGACAGAGUCCCUCCGCAGACAUAAG